CGGGGGGAGCAAGCGUUGUUCGGAUUUACUGGGCGUAAAGGGCGCGUAGGCGGCCACCGCAAGUCGACUGUGAAAUCUCCGGGCUUAACCCGGAAAGGUCAGCCGAUACUGCGGGGCUAGAGUGCAGAAGGGGCAACUGGAAUUCUCGGUGUAGCGGUGAAAUGCGUAGAUAUCGAGAGGAACACCUGCGGCGAAGGCGGGUUGCUGGGCUGACACUGACGCUGAAGCGCGAAAGCUAGGGGAGCGAACGGGAUUAGAUACCCCGGUAGUCCUAGCCUUAAACGAUGAAUGCUUGGUGUCUGGGGUUUUAUAGUCCCCGGGUGCCGUCGCUAACGCUUUAAGCAUUCCGCCUGGGGAGUACGGUCGCAAGACUG
rnacentral:rRNA from 1 species